GAUGAACGCUGGCGGCGUGCUUAACACAUGCAAGUCGAACGGUGAACCCGGAGCUUGCUGUGUGGGCUCAGUGGCGAACGGGUGAGUAACACGUGAGCAACCUGCUCCUCACUUUGGGAUAAGCGCUGGAAACGGCGUCUAAUACUGGACAUGUGACGUGCCCGCAUGGUCUGCGUUUGGAAAGCUGUUUCGGUUGGGGAUGGGCUCGCGGCCUAUCAGCAUGUUGGUGAGGUAAUGGCUCACCACGGCGUCGACGGGUAGCCGGCCUGCGAGGGUGACCGGCCACACUGGGAUUGAGACACGGCCCAGACUCCUACGGGAGGCAGCAGUGGGGAAUAUUGCACAAUGGGCGAAAGCCUGAUGCAGCAACGCCGCGUGAGGGAUGACGGCCUUCGGGUAGUAAACCUUUUUUAGCAGGGAAGAAGCGAAAGUGACGGUACCUGCAGAAAAAGCGCCGGCUAACUACGUG
rnacentral:rRNA from 1 species